GGAUUCCUGGCAGAGUGAUUUGGUCAUGAUGUAAUGUAAAUCACAUUGCCAGGGAUUUCCA
rnacentral:pre_miRNA from 1 species